UGGGCUUUACCAGAUGGUUGGGCUUGGUGGGCUUAUUCCUGGCUUGCCCUAUCCAAGCACAGAGUUGGAUCAUGAGGCCCAAAUGAAAGUAUGGGCUUCUUGAUUCCUAAAGUGGGGCGGAUCGCAUGAGGCUGGCUUCACAGAGCAAUGAACAGCUCCCGCUCUGUGCAGUGGAAGGAUAACGGGUCGGUGUCUACCAAGUCCAGUAAAGC